UGCGGAUCAUCGAAUUAAAUAACAUGCUCCUCCGCUUGUGCGGGCCCCCGUCAAUUCCUUUGAGUUUCACCCUUGCGGGCGUACUCCCCAGGUGGAAUACUUAACGCUUUCGCUUAGCCGCUAACUGUGUAUCGCUAACAGCGAGUAUUCAUCUGUUUAGGGCGUGGACUACCAGGGUAUCUAAUCCUGUUUGAUCCCCACGCUUUCGUGCCUCAGCGUCAAUUAAACCAUAGUAAGCUGCCUUCGCAAUCGGUGUUCUGUGACAUAUCUAUGCAUUUCACCGCUACUUGUCACAUUCCGCCUACCUCUAGUCCAUUCAAGCUCAUCAGUAUCAAAGGCACUGCGAUGGUUGAGCCACCGUCUUUCACCCCUGACUUAAUAAGCCGCCUACGCACCCUUUAAACCCAAUAAAUCCGGAUAACGCUUGGAUCCUCCGUAUUACCGCGGCUGCUGGCACGGAGUUAGCCGAUCCUUAUUCCUUCGGUACAUUCAGCUAAAUACACGUAUCUAGGUUUAUUCCCGAAUAAAAGCAGUUUACAACCCAGAGGGCCGUCUUCCUGCACGCGGCAUGGCUGGUUCAGAGUUGCCUCCA
rnacentral:rRNA from 1 species